rnacentral:lncRNA from 1 species
AGCCACUUUCUUUUCUCCUCUUUUAUUUACUAAACCCCUAUCAUCCAUCUACUUCGUCAUACCUCCCACUUUAUUAUUUCACUUUUGUUUUUAUUUUUUGUUUAUUUUUUUAAUUCUUUUACUUAUUUAUUUAUUAUUUUAUUAAAUAAUAAAUAAUCAAGUUAAUCAAGUCUUAGUUAAUUAAUUCCUUGUUUAAAUACCAUUUGCUCCAUCAUAUCUCUCAUACCUCAUGCACUUCCACAUAUCAUUUUUGCCUCACUUAGAAUUAUA